GGAUCAGUAGGUUGGUCGUGCCACUGGUAUGUACUGGCCUUACUGGUUCCUCCUUCUUGUAGAACCGUAAUGCCAUUAAGUUGGUGUUGCGGGGAAACAGGACUGUUACUUUGAAAAAAUUAGAGUGUUUAAAGCAGGCUUUCAAGCUUGAACAUAUUAGCAUGGAAUAAUGAAAUAGGA
rnacentral:rRNA from 1 species